rnacentral:lncRNA from 1 species
UAGUAAACUUUAUUUUGUACGUUUGGACAUAUCCUCUCCUCAAUAACCAGAUUAUGUUUUAAUAGGCUGCAUUUAACAGUACUUAAAACUUUAAGAAAUUAAGAAAACUCUAUUGUUGUUUCUUUCUGUGCGCAUAUAAUUUUCAGCACUAACAUGUCACACUAUUAAGAUGUAGCAUAUAAUUUUUCCGCAAAUUAUCUCGAAAUGACGUUGCA